CUAGAGGGUGAUGCAUGGAGUUGUGAGGAGAAAACCAAAGCUGCAGUGGAGACCCCCAAGAUUAAGAAAUGCCAAUAAUGUGGAACAUCUGCUGAGGAAAGUUUCAGGAAUUGAGCAGAGGUGAAUCCACAGAGAAGCCACGUGGGCUGCAACCAGGCAAGCUGUAGAGAUGGAGCUGCACAAGCCCUCUGGAAACACCAUGAUGCUAUGUACCCCAGAUGCUGGAUGUUGAGCUGUGGGACUUAUUUGCCCAGAACUGGAUUUUGGUCUUGCUUUGAUCCCAUUCCUUCUUUCAAAGCCCCUAUUUCUCCCUUGUGGAAUAGAAAUUUUUACUCUGUGCCUUUAUAUUAGGAUAUAUGUAACUUACUUUUGAUUUUUUACAAGAGUUCAUGCUGUGAGUUUGCCUUGAAUCUCAGAGGAGACUUUGGACUUGGACUCUCAGUCAAUGCUAAAACUCUUAAGAUUAUGGCAAAUCUUGGAAAUGGACUAUAUGUACUUUGCAUUGUGAGAUGGACAUGAACUUUUUUGGGGUCAAGGGGUAGAAUGUUAUAGUUUAUAUAUGAGGUGUCUGGCAAAAGCUCAUGUGUGAAACAAUGUAAGAAAGUUUAGAGAUGAAAUGAAAGGGUUAUAAGAGUCUUAAUCUAAUCAGUACAUUAAUCACCUGAUAGAGUUAACUUGAUGGUAACCAUGGGCAUGUUGAGUGUGGCUGGAGGAGGUGGGUUCCUAGGAGCAUGGGUUUCCAGCUUAUAUUUUGUCUGGGUGAAAAGAGCUCUCUCUCUCUCUCUCUCUCUCUCUCUCUCUCUCUCUCUCUCUCUCUCUCUCUCUCCUUAUUAGUGGUCAUGUCCUGAACUGCUUUUCUCCUGAUGUUCUGCCUCACCUUGAGCCCUGAGGAAUGGAGUUGGCUGUCUAUAGACCUCUGAAACCAUAAGCCCCUAAAUAAAUGUUUCCUCCUCUAAUUGUUUUUGUCAGGUCUUUUAAUCACAGCAGCAAAAAAGGUAACUAAAACAGUGUGU
rnacentral:lncRNA from 1 species